GACGAACGCUGGCGGCGUGCUUAACACAUGCAAGUCGAACGGUGAAGGGACCAGCUUGCUGGUUCUGGAUGAGUGGCGAACGGGUGAGUAACACGUGAGUAACCUGCCCCCUUCUUCUGGAUAACCGCAUGAAAGUGUGGCUAAUACGGGAUAUUCUGGGUCUGUCGCAUGGCGGGCCCGGGAAAGAUAUUGCUUCGGUGGGGGAUGGGCUCGCGGCCUAUCAGCUUGUUGGUGGGGUGAUGGCCUACCAAGGCGGUGACGGGUAGCCGGCCUGAGAGGGUGGACGGUCACACUGGGACUGAGACACUGCCCAGACUCCUACGGGAGGCAGCAGUGGGGAAUAUUGCACAAUGGGCGCAAGCCUGAUGCAGCGACGCCGCGUGAGGGAUGGAGGCCUUCGGGGUGUAAACCUCUUUCGCCAGUGAAGCAGGCCUGCUCCUUGUGGGUGGGUUGACGGUAGCUGGAUAAGAAGCGCCGGCUAACUACGUG
rnacentral:rRNA from 1 species